UACGGAGGGAGCUAGCGUUGUUCGGAAAUACUGGGCGUAAAGCGCACGUAGGCGGCGCAGCAAGUCAGGGGUGAAAUCCCGGGGCUCCAACCCCGGAACUGCCCUUGAAACUGCAGUGCUAGAAUCUUGGAGAGGCGAGUGGAAUUCCGGAGUGUAGAGGUGAAAUUCGUAGAUAUUGGGAAGAACACCAGUGGCGAAGGGCGGCUCACUGGCCCGUAACUCGACGCUGAGGUGCGAAAGCGUGGG
rnacentral:rRNA from 1 species